GAGGGUGUAGCUCAGUGGUAGAGCACAUGCUUAGCACACAUGAGGUCCUGGGUUCAGUUCUCAGCACCUCCG
rnacentral:tRNA from 1 species